rnacentral:ncRNA from 2 species
UUUUACGGCUAGGGGAAUCUGCCCGACCAGGACGGUCGGUGUGGAUUGAGAAUCCAACCCUUGGAACCUGACCCAGUUAACACUGGCGUAGGGAAGCUGCUCCACCCUGCU